rnacentral:rRNA from 1 species
CCAGCACCCGCGGUAAUUCCAGCUCCAAUAGCGUAUAUUUAAGUUGCUGCAGUUAAAAAGCUCGUAGUUGGAUUUCGGGUGGGGCCUGCCGGUCCGCCGUUUCGGUGUGCACUGGCCGGGCCCACCUUGCUGCCGGGGACGUGUUCCUGGGCUUCACUGUCCGGGACACGGAGUCGGCGAGGUUACUUUGAGUAAAUUAGAGUGUUCAAAGCAGGCCUACGCUCUGAAUACAUUAGCAUGGAAUAACACGAUAGGACUCUGGCCUAUCUUGUUGGUCUGUAGGACCGGAGUAAUGAUUAAGAGGGACAGUCGGGGGCAUUCGUAUUUCAUUGUCAGAGGUGAAAUUCUUGGAUUUAUGAAAGACGAACUACUGCGAAAGCAUUUGCCAAGGAUGUUUUCAUUAAUCAAG